rnacentral:lncRNA from 1 species
CCAAAUUUCUACUUUAUUUUUGUCGGGAAAAUUUUUUUGAUAUCCGCUAGUUUACUUUACCUUGCUCUUAUUUUCACAUAGUUUAAUAUUGAUGGUUUCGGUAAUUAAUUAGCCAUAGAAGCACUAUAGACGGCCUACUUAGCGGGCAACCGAUGGCUCUCAUUUGUGCCCUUACGCAGAUUUUUUUUUUUUUUACCUGGGCUCUGAAUUCUUCAUGGAGUCCUGAAAUAACCAGCUGAAUCCUGAAUUGCCUAACAGAAUUCUACUUCAUUUUUGUCGAAAUUUUUUUUUUGAUAUCCGCUGCUUUACUUUAACUUGGGCUUAUUUUCACAUAGUUUAAUAUUGAUGGUUUCAAUAAUUAAUUGGCCAUGAAAGUAGAAUGGAUGGCUUGCUUAGCGGGCAAUCGGUGGGUCUCAUUUGUGUUCUUAUGUAGCUCUGUUUUUUUUUCCCCUUGAUCUUGAUUCUGAAUUCUUCAUGGAACCAUGAAUCGGCCAGCUGAGUUAUGAAUUCCCUAACUGAAUUCUACAUUACCUACCUAGAAUCUAUAUUACCUAGCUGAAUGUUGAGUUGCCUGGAUGAAUUCUGGGGGAAUUCUGAUCUGAAUUGCAUUAAGAUACUUGAUGGGCAUAGAAUGUUACUUAAUUGUGUAGGUGAGUUCUAAAUUCUUCAUGGAAUGCGGAAUUGUCUACCUGAAUUGGAACAUAUGAAAGUUUAGAAUUCCGAAUUCUGAUUUGAAUUGCAUCAGGUUGUUUCAUACAUAUAAAAAAGUUAAAAUGAGAAAAAUAUGUAUAUAUUGUUGUCUUCUUAAUAUUUAAAACAAUAUUCUUUUUACACAUUCGUUGAGAAGUAAAAAAUAGUUAUGCUUAUUGACUGAAAUUACACCUUUUGUAAAAGUGAAAGCUUUAAACUGCAUCUUUUGUAAAAGUGAAAGCUCUCGAGAAUCCAAUUGGUACUUGGCUAUUGAUUGUUCAUAUUUUAGGGUCUAAUUUAUUGUAAGGAUGGUUUUUAUGGUAGCUUAGAGACGGACGUAUAAGCUUAAUUGUUUACUGGGAAGUUUGUAAGAUAUUUUAUGAACUAAAUUCUUCGAAGUUGAUUACUGGUGGCUUAGGAUUUGCUGUUGUGCAAGGACUUUAGAUGUUGCCUCAACAUUUUAUAUAGAUUUAGGAUGCAUAUGCAGAAUUCAGGGCUCAACAUUCAGGAUUCACAAUGUGAAUUCAUAUAAAAGGUUCUUUAUAAAACGUUGCUUACUUAGAACUUAGAA